rnacentral:lncRNA from 1 species
GUCGGAGAGCUAGCUUCAUGCUUUGAGAGAGGGAGGAGGGAAAGACAGAGAAUUGGGAUUUUUUUUUCAUAGGAUUUUGAGAAGACUGAGGCAAUCAUUGCUGAAAGUGAGUAUUGUACUAGUGAAUCGAGGUUUUAAUGAAGUGGGUGUGAUUACUCUUGACUGUUUUGUGAAAUCGAAGUUACAUCUAUGAUUGAAGAAUUAAAAGGAUGACUGUAGGAUUG